GAUGAACGCUGGCGGCGUGCCUAAUACAUGCAAGUCGAGCGAACGGACGAGAAGCUUGCUUCUCUGAUGUUAGCGGCGGACGGGUGAGUAACACGUGGAUAACCUACCUAUAAGACUGGGAUAACUUCGGGAAACCGGAGCUAAUACCGGAUGAUAUUUUGAACCGCAUGGUUCAAAAGUGAAAGACGGUCUUGCUGUCACUUAUAGAUGGAUCCGCGCUGCAUUAGCUAGUUGGUAAGGUAACGGCUUACCAAGGCAACGAUGCAUAGCCGACCUGAGAGGGUGAUCGGCCACACUGGAACUGAGACACGGUCCAGACUCCUACGGGAGGCAGCAGUAGGGAAUCUUCCGCAAUGGGCGAAAGCCUGACGGAGCAACGCCGCGUGAGUGAUGAAGGUCUUCGGAUCGUAAAACUCUGUUAUUAGGGAAGAACAUAUGUGUAAGUAACUGUGCACAUCUUGACGGUACCUAAUCAGAAAGCCACGGCUAACUACGUGCCAGCAGCCGCGGUAAUACGUAGGUGGCAAGCGUUAUCCGGAAUUAUUGGGCGUAAAGCGCGCGUAGGCGGUUUUUUAAGUCUGAUGUGAAAGCCCACGGCUCAACCGUGGAGGGUCAUUGGAAACUGGAAAACUUGAGUGCAGAAGAGGAAAGUGGAAUUCCAUGUGUAGCGGUGAAAUGCGCAGAGAUAUGGAGGAACACCAGUGGCGAAUGCGACUUUCUGGUCUGUAACUGACGCUGAUGUGCGAAAGCGUGGGGAUCAAACAGGAUUAGAUACCCUGGUAGUCCACGCCGUAAACGAUGAGUGCUAAGUGUUAGGGGGUUUCCGCCCCUUAGUGCUGCAGCUAACGCAUUAAGCACUCCGCCUGGGGAGUACGACCGCAAGGUUGAAACUCAAAGGAAUUGACGGGGACCCGCACAAGCGGUGGAGCAUGUGGUUUAAUUCGAAGCAACGCGAAGAACCUUACCAAAUCUUGACAUCCUUUGACAACUCUAGAGAUAGAGCCUUCCCCUUCGGGGGGGACAAAGUGACAGGUGGUGCAUGGUUGUCGUCAGCUCGUGUCGUGAGAUGUUGGGUUAAGUCCCGCAACGAGCGCAACCCUUAAGCUUAGUUGCCAUCAUUAAGUUGGGCACUCUAAGUUGACUGCCGGUGACAAACCGGAGGAAGGUGGGGAUGACGUCAAAUCAUCAUGCCCCUUAUGAUUUGGGCUACACACGUGCUACAAUGGACAAUACAAAGGGCAGCGAAACCGCGAGGUCAAGCAAAUCCCAUAAAGUUGUUCUCAGUUCGGAUUGUAGUCUGCAACUCGACUACAUGAAGCUGGAAUCGCUAGUAAUCGUAGAUCAGCAUGCUACGGUGAAUACGUUCCCGGGUCU
rnacentral:rRNA from 1 species